rnacentral:rRNA from 1 species
UACAUAGGGAGCAAGCGUUAUCCGGAAUGAUUGGGCGUAAAGCGUCUGUAGGUGGUUCGAAAAGUCUACUGUCAAAUACGUUGGCUCAACCAACGGCAGGCAUUAGAGUACUAUUGAACUAGAGUAUGGUAGAGGUAGAGGGAAUCCCUAGCGUAACAGUGAAAUGUGUAGAUUUUAGGGAGAACACCAGCGGCGAAGGCGCUCUACUGGGCCAUUACUGACACUGAGAGACGAAAGCUAAGGGAGCGAAAGGG